CACAUGUACCAUAGCAUUUGCCCUUCAGUGCACAAAAUUCAAUCCCCCGUUUCUCUCAUCCCCAGAUCUGACGAUGGCCGAUGUCACCGGCGGCCACUCCUCCCCUCCGGCGGCGGCGGCGGAGACCUUGCCCGACGACGUCCUCGCCGAGAUCCUCCUCCGCCUCCCGCCCCACCCUUCCUUCCUCUCCUCGGCGUCCCUCGUCUCCAAGCGCUGGCUCCGCCACACCCGCAACCCUAGCUUCCUCCGCCGCUUCCGCGAGUUCCACCGCACCGCCCCCGUGCUCGGCUUCUUCCUCAACUCCUCGCAUGGCGCCCUCUUCUUCCCCACCGACGCGCCCCUCUGCCGCAUCGCCGACCAGGUCGCCUCCCUCCGCAGGAACACGGGCGAUGGCUUGUGGUGGCUCGUCGGCUGCCGCCACGGCCGCGUCCUCCUCCGCAGCUGCGACUGGGCCAACCUGCUCGUCUGGGACCCCAUGACCGAGGGGUUCGUCUGCUUCCCCGCCCCCAUCCAGAUGGUCCAAGCCGACGCCGACCGCGACGCCGCCGUGUUCUGCGCUGCCUCCGCCGGCGACGAGGACCGCCGCUCCGGCGCCUUCAACGUCGCCGUCGUGUUCGUCAGCGGCGACCACGUGUUCGGCUGCAUGUUCUCCUCGGCGAUCGGCGCCUGGGGCGACGUGAUCUCGACGCCGGUGACUUUACCUCUGCUGAUGAUCUACGACGAGCCCGCUGCCCUUGCUGGGGAAGCCCUGUACUGGAUUGUUAAUGGCAGCAGCUUGCUCGAGUUCAAUUGCGGCAGCCAAAGUCUAGCUCUGAUCUCGCGGCCAUCGGAUAUGCCCGCAACCCACAGGUGGAACAUCCGUCCUGUGAGUUUGGAGGACGAUUUGCUUGGCCUCGCCUUUUUCAACGAUUUCUGCCUGCAUCUGUGGGUGCGGGAGGUUGCCGAUGAUGGCGCGACGAACUGGGUUCCACGCAAGUCCGUUGAGAUGGACAAGCUCCUUUCGCUGCCAGUGGCGACGGAGGACAGUCGGCGCCGUAUCGUGCCUGCUUGGAUAUGUGGGUUCUCUGGGGAUGGAAAUGUGGUGUUUAUUGGGACCCCUGCUGGCAUUUUCUUGGUUGAGCUUGACACGUUGAAGUUCAAGAAGGUGACUGAUGGUUCCCUACUCAUCAAGACUGUUCAUCCCUAUGAGAGCUUUUAUUAUGUUCCAAAUGAAAAAGGAGGAAAACAGGAGAGUGCUAUAGUGGGGAACCAGGUUUCUGAGGCAGGUGGCAAGUGAGAUCUUCCGCGCCAAGUUCAGAUGGAGACUGUGCUCAGGACAGUUGGAAGGAUGAACACAAAGGAGGAUGUCACUAUAUGUUGGGAGAAUUCACCAGAAAUCAAGUAGCAAGUGAGAUGUAUGGCGCAAAACCUGGCUGGAGGUUCGGAACUGGAAUGCUGGACUGAAUUUUGGCAAUCCUGGUGGUUUGACCAACAAAAUGAGGGGGAGAUGAAGUCCUGUGAUGCUUUAGUACCAUCAGAAGUUUUAGUUGUCUUAUUACAGAUGUUCUCGUUAGCUGUACUGAAAACUUGUAUAGGUUAUCCUAGUAGCAUCACACUGAUGGGAUGGCAUCUAAUUAAGAAGGGGUGGCAUAUGCUACACUUUUUCGUGAUGCCCAAUUUUGGCAGAGCAAAAGUGUCUAUGACACACUGUAAUUGUAUAGCAAAGAGUGUUUAUGAGAGGAUUCUGGGGUGUUGGAUGUAAAAUUCUCACUGAAGAACAGUUACAGACAAGCGACCGAAGAACGUGUGAUGUCACCGAAGCGUCGCUCGCCACUUGUGCCUGCAUUUUCCGCUUCAGCGAGCAGCCUUUAGUCAAUCCCCAUUCCUCACCCCAAACCUUAAUUCCCCAUUUUUGAGGUUGCGGCUGCCAUUGGGAAGCAAGAGCGUUCAGCUU